rnacentral:rRNA from 1 species
UACGGAGGGUGCAAGCGUUAAUCGGAAUUACUGGGCGUAAAGCGUGCGUAGGCGGUUUAGUAAGUCAGAUGUGAAAGCCCUGGGCUCAACCUGGGAACUGCAUUUGAUACUGCUGAACUAGAGUAUGGUAGAGGGAAGUGGAAUUCCGGGUGUAGCGGUGAAAUGCGUAGAUAUCCGGAGGAACACCAGUGGCGAAGGCGACUUCCUGGACCAAUACUGACGCUGAGGUACGAAAGCGUGGGUAGCAAACAGG